UACGAAGGGUGCAAGCGUUAUUCGGAAUGACUGGGCGUAAAGAGCGUGAAGGCGGCUUUUUAAGUCACUUGUUAAAUUACUCGGCUUAACUGAGGAUAUGCGGGUGAAACUGAAGAGCUAGAGUACAGGAGAGAAAGGUAGAAUUCUCGGAGUAGCGGUAAAAUGCGUAGAUCUCGAGAGGAAUACCGGUUGCGAAGGCGGCCUUUUGGCCUGUCACUGACGCUCAAGCGCGAAAGCGUGGGGAGCAAACAGG
rnacentral:rRNA from 1 species